rnacentral:lncRNA from 1 species
AAGGGCUCCCCGGCUGCUCCCCGGCCACUGUGUACCCAAAGCAGCGGCUGAAAUAGCCCGGAGUCCAACAGCUCAGCGUCAAGCAGCUCGUGGCAAACGCAGCCGCCGGUCUUGACUGCCAUCGCCCAAGGGGUUCCUCUGGGCUCUCCCGCGAGCCAACAGCCGACCUCUCUCCAGCCUAGUCUGGGAAACUCCAGCCAACCCAGGAUCCCAUUUUGUAGUCCCGGGCAGACCCGAAACCCCUGAAAGAACUCCACUCCAGAAGACGCCAGAACAAGUUCCCACGAAUUUCAUGGGCGCCCUUCACAUGAAAACCUCAGCUCCCCUAUCCUCAAGGAACGGGGAAGGGCGCCGGGGAGGGACUUCGGUGGCCAGCUGUCCCUGGGUCGUGGGCGCUGUUUGCUCUGCGGAGCGCCAGCCCUGCACACAGCGGGUGCGGGAAGCGUUGAUGGGAGGCUGGAGGGCGGGGUGAGCGUAAACUAGGAUCUAGCCGGUUCCAGGCGUGGAGAAUCAAAUGUGGUCCUAGAUCUGUAAGUUGCGAAAAGGGGCUUUUGGGAGCGUCAGAGCUUUCUCACUCCGGCCCCCCGCCGCCUUGAGGCUGGCAGAUUUAUACCACACAGGUGGAUGGAGACCUAAACAAAACAGUCCCUGCC